UGCCAGCCGCCGCGGUAAUACGGAGGGUGCAAGCGUUAUCCGGAUUUACUGGGUUUAAAGGGUGCGUAGGCGGAUAUUUAGGUCAGAGGUGAAAUCUCCGAGCUCAACUCGGAAACUGCCUUUGAUACUAUUUAUCUUGAAUUUCGUUGAGGUUGGCGGAAUAUAUCAUGUAGCGGUGAAAUGCAUAGAUAUGAUAUAGAACACCGAUUGCGAAGGCAGCUAACUAAACGAAUAUUGACGCUGAGGCACGAAAGCGUGGGGAGCGAACAGGAUUAGAUA
rnacentral:rRNA from 1 species